rnacentral:lncRNA from 1 species
AAAAAACCUGAUUAGUUCAUCUGUUUCUCAACCUGUCAAAAAACCUGAUUAGUGCUCUUGAAAUCCAUUUCUAGCAUCAAUGGAGGAGCUCAUGAAUAAAAUCAUAACGCGCACAGACCUAGAAAACCGUCUAGCUUAUCCAACCCACAGUCUUCGGGCCUUUCCAGUACUAUUGUCCGAGGGCCAAACUUCAAUAUGUUUUGAUGCACGAGAUACUCUUGGGAAAGUCUGGAAUCUUAAGCUUUCUACUCGGACUCAAGGCCAAUAUCAAAAACCAGUCAUCACUGGAGAGUGGUUGUCACUUGUGCAAGAGAAGGGCCUUGGAGUCGGAGACAGGAUCGUUCUGACUAGGGAAGUAGAUGAAGAUGGUGAAGUGAGCUACGAAAUCAGAACUGAACGCAAGAUAUUCAAUGUUUGGGUCCCUGUCCAAUAGGGGACAUAUCUUUGCCUGUUGGUAAAACAUAUUACGCUUGCAGUAUGCAAGUUAGUGACUGUUUUUCUAGCAUUUAAUUGUUGUUGUGUGAUUUACAUAUUAUGUUUUGUUCCUUGUAUUUUCUUUUUUAUAUAUGCAGCAUACGAGUUACUCCAUGCUCCUUCUGGCUCCAUGGGUAGCAAGAGAGGAGUGGAGAGGCUGCUAGCUAGCUUUUUAUACAUGUAUGGAGCUUUCAUUUUGUCAGUAGUACUGGUGUGUUAUAUAUAUUUGAUGUAUCUUCAACUUCUCAAUCUAAGCCUCGUUUUUUUUUAUUAUGAAUUUGGUCCUUAGCAAGACCAGAUGAAAAUACUUUAUGUCUGACACUUGACUGCCGCAAAAUUAUCCUUAAAACACCCAAAGUACCAUUUUCUAACCUUGCGAUAUCAUUUCAAUCAGUAUUGAAGACAAAUUCUAUUGUCGGCUAAUCAAACAUUAAUUUUUUUUGUUUUUGAUGAGACAAAAGAGCAACCGACUCCUGUCAAAUUCUAGUAUCAAUUCAAACUAAGAUUUUAGAGUGGAAGAUCGCCCACAUUUUGGAUUAAUUCUAUUUCCUAAACAUUCCAUUACAUAAAAAUAUUUGGAAUUAAAAUUUACAUAAACUUAAAUUUCAAAUUAAAAUAAAUUUCUCUAUAUUUAAGUGUAAAAAGUUUGACAAUAGGAAGUGAAGAAAAUGAACAUACCUCGAAUAAUAUUUAUAAACAAAAAAAAAACGAAUAUAAGAACACGAACUAUCCCAUAAAAAUCAAAGUUAGAAAAAAAAAAACCGAAGUAAUGUAUUUUAUUUAUUUAUAUUUUUGCUGGGUCGGGAGCAAAUUAUACCAAAUUAAAAUGCUUGAUUGUUUGACAUUUUACGGCCCCAAGAUUAUCCCCAAAUCAUUUCGAGCACCAUUUUGUAACCUUGCGAUGUCAUUUCAAUCAGUAUAAACGAAAAAUUCUAGACAAUUAAGCUCUUCAAAACCUUUUUGUUGCCGGCGACAUAUGGCAAUGGAGGUUCAAGCAGAAAUAAAAGUCUUCUAGAGCCAGAGGCAGUCUCAAAUACCUUAUGGUAGGCUGUGCUAGCUGCCAAAAAAGACAAGCAACAAGGUCAAAAUGUGAAGAACGACACGCAAGCACUCGCAGGCUGUCUAGCCUCUUUCAUUUAGCCUUUCAUCGAUCGUUCGCAUGUUGCAAGAUUCGAGACAUUAAGGUCAUCGAUCGUUCGCAUGUCGCAGGCUGUCUAGCCUCUUUCAUUUAGCCUCUUUCAAAGGUAAAUUCCUUUUCUAGUGAGAACCGGUGGAUAUAUUAUCUACACUAAAAUGUAUUUAAUUUUCUUAAACUAUUUAUCAAAGUGUCAUCAUCAAUCUUUAAAGAAAGAUUAUAUUAAAAAAUAAUAUAAAUUAUAUUAAAUUGAUUGAUUCUACUUGUAUAUGGAAGCAAGAGAACUCUGUACGAAAUUAAAAAAAUAAUAUAUCACACCAAUUUCCUAAAGAAAAGGCCGCACGAGUUUGGUCGUUUAUUUGAGUAGUCGAGAAGUAAAUGGAAAGAUUUAUUAAUGUUUCAUCUGACGUUUGCUUACCAAAAGUGAACAUAUAUCUUUCUUGGACUCGUGAAGUUUAACAAAGACAACCUGAAAUUAAAGUCGUCGCCAAAAAGAAUGUUAUUUGUCGGCCGCCUUAUCAAACAUUAAUCUAUAUUUUGUCUUUUGUUUUUUAGGAGCCAAAAGGGCUGCCGAUUUGUCACGUACGGACAUGAGAUUUUUCAAACUUAUCUUGUCAUGAUAGAGUGAUUGUCGCUCGUUUACAUCAAACUUUUCUUAAUUGUCGCGUGACAAUGGGAUUCUUCUAUACUGUAUACAAAAAGUUCAAAGAAAAGAAAAGCAUAGGUAAUUUGAAAUAACUAGAUUUACCUAAUAUUUAUAAAAUUCAAUCUAAAAUUAACUUAAAAUUUUGAUUUGAGAAAUCAAACUAAAAAAAUAAUUAGACAAUUUUUUAGAAAAAAAUCAUUUCAAUUCGAUAUUAAUUUUAAAUUUUAAAAACAAGAAAAACAUGAAAUAAAACUAGAAAAAACAGAGAUUAUAUAUAAUUAACUACACUACACUAAAUGAUAUAUUCUUUAUUUUAAAAAAUAAAUUGAUUAAAAUAGCUCUUUUUUUUAAAUUAAUUUAAACUUAUUUAAUUUUCAUAAAAGUUAAACAAAACUACACUAAUUAUUUUAAUUUUUAUUUAUUUAUUUUAGUUUAAAUUAAUAUUUUAUAAAAAAUAUUUCAAUUUGACUGGAUUCUUUUAUCCAACCUAACAAAACCUAUUGAUGUUCACUUCUAAUAUAAGUCCGCGAUCAUAUACCAUCCAAUUGUUGCUUAUGAUGUUAGGAUCAUGGUUGUCACUUUUAAAGAUAACUUUUGCUAAUUGGUGCGUGAAAAUAGCCUUCUAGAUUGACAUAGUUAAGGAGUUCAAAAAAUAAAAAAGCAGGCUAAUUUAAAAUAUAACUAGUCUUUUCAGUUGGAUCAAAUUUUGUCCUGAAAUUCGAGAUUGAAACAAACCAACUCCCUCAAAAGUUAUGUAAGUCCACAAUGAUAUACCUCAAAACAGAUCAUAUAUAUCUUUGUCAAGUGAUAAUCUCAUGAGGAUGAUGAUAAAAAGCUGUGCAUACUCUAAAAUAUUCUUCACUUAAACAACAUUAUUGUUGGACUGUUAAGACAUACAUGAACCUAAAAAAAUAAUCAAACCUAGUCAUACUUUAAAGUUUGACUAUCCUUGUAUAAGAGAUUGUUUAGUAGUGUGGUUGUUUUUUAAAUAAUGUUUUAUAUCAAAAUGCAUGUCAAUGAUGCUUUUUCAUUUUUUAAAAAUUAUUUCUGACAUCAGCACAUCAAAAUGAUUCGAAAACACUAAAAACAUAUUAAUUUGAAGUUAAUAAAAAAAAAUUAAAAAAAUUAAUUUUUUUUAAAAGUAUUUUUAAAACGCAAAAAAAAAAAAAACUUGUUUGUUUUUGCGUUUUAAAAACAUCUAAAAAAAUUAAAAUUUUUAUUUUUAUUUUUUUUCUUUACUUUAAAUUAAUAUUUUUUUCUAUGUAUUUAAAUCAUUUUAAUAUGUUGAUGUCAAAAAAUAUAUUUUUUUAAAAAAAUAUUAUUUUGAUAUAUUUCCGAGUAAAAAACACUUUGAAAAACAACCGCAAACACACUUUCAAAUAUAAUGCCAAAUAUGUUGUCCAAAACCUAUGAACACACCCAAAUAUUAACUUGUGUAGUAUACAUGUUAAUCACUAAUUUUUAAUAAUAUUUUAAUAUAAUAAGUUAUCAAAUCACUUGUGAACUCAUGUGAUAAAAGAAAAAAAAAUAUAAAAAGAAAGAUAAAAAAAAAACCUGACAAUAAGUUUAUGAUUUUUUUUAGGUAAUUUUGUUAUUUUAUUGUUUUUUAAAAAAGUUAAAGGACUAGGCAGUCCCUAUCACUUUUUGGGCACUUCCGAUUAAUUAUUUGUGCAACUUGCAAAUUAACUUAUGCUGCACAUGGCAUAUGAUUUCUCUACUCUCGUACACGUCGAUCACUUAGCUUGUCUUAUAAGAUUAUUAUUUUUGCCAUUCUAAUCUCUCUCUCUCUCUCUCUAGUUUUCUUUUCGAAUACGGGGGGAUUUUCGCACGAUAUCCAUAUUAUAAUGUAGCACAGACCACAUUUCGGACAGGGAUUUGAAGCUGCCAACAUUUUUCUUGGACGAUAUGAUGAUUACAUCUAAACGAUAACGAGGAUAAUUUUUUUAAAAAUAAAAGGUUGAUGAAUUCUCUUUAGACCUCCAAUCAACAAAGCUGGUCGGUCGCCAGGAUAUGGGCCUUGGUCGUAAGUAAGCGAGCGCAAGGGAUUAAGAGAGAAAAAGAUACACUGAAAAAAUUAGGGUGAUUGUCGCUCGUUUACAGCUAACUUCUCUUAAAUGUCGAGCGACGAUGGCCUUCUAUGUUAUUGUAUUCAGUACUGUGAAAGAUCAGAUAUAAUCGAUUGCGUACAUAAUUAGCUCACCACUGUAUUAUGGUUCGACAUAUAAUACAUAGACUAGUCACAUCUUCGACUAACUUUUUGACCAUUCAAUAUCUUGUCACUCAUAUUACAAAGUGUGAAACAUUCUUAAUUCCAUCACAAGACCGAAAAAAUAAAAAACCUUUUUAAAACAAUUUAGGAUGAAAAAGAUUAAUUCAAACAAUUUAGGAUGCUGUUACCGCAUGAUAAACAACAAGUUAUUUUUAUUAAACAAUAUGAAAUGAACAAUUGAAUCGAAUUAAAAAUAAUAUUUUAUAAAUUAAUCUCUACAAAUGAUUUUGAGAUACAUUUCCAAAACAUAAAAAUAUACAUCUUCCAUUCAUCUCGUGGCCUACAUUUGAGCAGGGAACACAACCAACAUUCUUUUAUCAAUCUCUAUAACUGUACAGGGAUCGAAGCCAAUUCUAAAACAUUGAGAUAUUUUUUUUAUUCAAAUUUAAAAAAAAAUAAAAUUAUUAAGCAUGCUAAAUACAUGACCAAAUUUAUAAGGGUGGGAUGACACCUUAUAAAAUAAACUAAAUAGAAACAAUGCAGGUCAAUUCUUAGAUAAAAAAAUAAUAAUAAUAAUUGCUAAAAAACUAUCCAAACCCAAUAACUUAAGUUAUUUAAUGUAUGGAUAUUUUAUUUUAUCAGUAGUUUGAUGUAUCUUCAACUUUUUUAUAUUAUGCCUCAGUUAUUUUAUUAUGAAUUUCAUCCUUACAUAAUAAAUUUUAUAGAACAAAAUCCAUAGAUAAAUUGAAUCCAAUUAAAAAUAACAGUUAUAGACAUAAAAAAAAAGAUUAAAUAUUCUUUGUUUUUGCGUUUUAAAAAAAGAUUAAAAUUUAUUUUUUUUCUUUGCUUCAAAUUAAUAUUUUUUUAGUGUUUCUAAAUUAUUUUGAUGCGUUGAUAUAAAAAUAAUUUUUUAAAAAUAAAAAAAAUAUUAUUUUAAUACAUUUCUGAAUAAAAAACACUUUGAAAAACAAUCACAAUCAUAUUCUUAAAUAUAUUAGAGUGCUGGUAUGUCAAUCGAGACAAACUUUUCUACUCAAGUAAUCUCAUGGAUAAAAUUUUUAUAAUACUCUUAAAUAACUAUCUCAAAUUAUGAGUUUUAGAUGUGAUUUUAAAUCCAAAAAAUAAUUUUGUUUGACUUUCUAACAUAUUUCAUCAAAAAAAAGUUUUUUUAUCCUUAAAUAGUAGAUAUACUCACCAUUACAUUUUAUUAAACUUAUUUAAUUUAAUUAAAUAAAAAUUAAAAAUAAUAGAAUUCAAACUGACAACCGUCUCAUUUGUUGACGGUCAUAAAGACCCUCUGAAUGAUAUUAGCUUUCAAGAAUUAAGAAAUGAUUAGUGGGUCCUUCCAAACGUUUGCCAAGUCUUCCAUAAGUCUUAUGGAUGUUAACGAUCCAGCAUUAAUUAAUACAAUCUUUUUCCAUAAUAGCGGCUUUUCCAACUUGAAAUACUGAAAGAAAGAAAGCGAAAUAAAAACUCGGGCCCUAUAUUUAAAGGUUAUUUUUUAUAUUGGAUGCAAACAGACAAAUUUGUCUAAGGAGAAAAACAUAUAAUAAAACAUUUCAUAAGAAAUAAGGUAGUAAAAAUGUCAUUUUUUUUAUUAAGCAUAACUAUUUUUUGUACCUCAACAUUUAAAGUUAAUGUAUAUUUUAGGAUUCUUAGUUCUUUUAACUACUAGUUAAUAACUUUUAAUUUUUCUCGAUAUGAUCCGGUGUGCAUUUUAAAAUCUUUAAUUUUUUUAAUUAUUAGAUGAUGAUUUUUAUUUUUUUUUAAUAAUAUUUUAAUCUAAUAAAUCUCCAUAUCUGUACAGGAUUGAAGCCCAUUCUAAAACAUUGAGAUAUGAUUUUCUUCAAAUUAAAAAAAAAAUAUGACAAAAAAUUAAUUUUAUUGAGCAUGCUAAAUACAUGGCAAAAUUUUAUAAGGGUGGGAUGAUACCUUAAAAAAUAAACUAAAUAGAAACAAUGCAGGUCAAUUUUUAAACAACAAAUAAUAAUAAUAAUUAAAAGCAAAACAGUAGAAAAUCAAUAAAAAAAAUUAAAAAAAACUCGAUUGAACUCUCUAAAAUUAAAAUAAAAAAUUAACUCUACAACCCAAUAAUAUAAUAUUGAAUUAUAAAAUUAAAAUAAUUUUUUUUUUAAAAAAAAGUUAAAUGGGGUAAAUCUUCUAAAUUUAUUUUUCGAAUCAUGAUACUGGGUUAUGUCAUAUAUUAUUAUAUAAUAAAUAAGUUAUUUCCUUGAAUUGUUUUAAAAAAAUCUUAGUGUUUUUAUAAUUUAAAAAAGUUAAUACACUUUUCAACAAUUACACCUACAUCCAAUUUCUAAGCUAAAAAUGAUUUGCUUAUAAUGAGAUAAUAUUCUUCUUUUAAAAGGUUAAAAGAUUUAAAAUUAAAACGUUAAUGCAACUUUCAAAUCAACUGGAAUUGCACAUUGGACAAAUGAUCACCAAGAGCUCACAUCAAUGCAUUUGUUUUAAUUUGUCAAAGAUCAGAAAUAAUCACAUCUCCGAUUAACUUUUUGACCAUGGAAUACCUUGCCAACCAAACCACCAGAUGUGACAACGCAAUCUAGGAUGUUGAUAUCGAACGAUAAUGAACAAGAGUUAACAGUGAACGUGCACUCACUACACCUAUAAAAAUGCUAAUAGCUAGCCCUCCAACAUUCAUCUGUUUCUCAACCUGUCAAAAAACCUGAUUAGUUCAUCUGUUUCUCAACCUGUCAAAAAACCUGGUUAGUGCUCUUGAAAUCCAUUUCUAGCAUCAAUGGAGGAGCUAAUAAAUAAAACCCUAAAGCGCACAGACCUAGAAAACCGUCUAGCUUAUCCAACCCACAGUCUUUGGGCCUUUCCUCCACUACUGUCCGAGGGCCAAACUUCAACACGUUUUGAUGCACGAGAUACACUUGGGAAAGUCUGGAAUCUUAAGCUUUCUACUCGGACUCAAGGC